UUGGGAAUCUGUGACGCGAGAUGAUGUUACAAAAUCCUGUGCAGUGAGCGAAGAGAACUUCUUAGACGAUCUUUCAAGUUUUUUUUCUGCUAUUGUAAAUACUAUUACGGAAAUGACAUCCUUUACUAUGCUUAUGCUGGCAACACAUACAGAUGUACAAGAAAAACUGCGACAGGAAAUAUCAGUCACAUUCAAUAAUGAUAAGGUUGAUGCCCAACGACUCUUAGGCAUGCAAUAUUUUCAUAUGGUGUUUCAAGAGACUUUAA